rnacentral:rRNA from 1 species
AUGGCCGCCGCCCUCCCCUCCUCUUCCGCUGCCGCCGUGCACCGCUUCCUCCUCAUCUCCCGGCCCACCUUGUCAAACCUCCCGUACGCCUCACGUCCUGCUGUCUCGCGCUCGAUCACCGUCAUCUCAGGUGGCAACAAUGCUUUCUCAUCGAACUUCAGGCGCUUGCUCAGUUCAAAUGAAAAACAUAUGCCUGCAAUGUCUGACCCACAAAUUGAAUCUGCUCUUAAGGAUUUGAUGGCUGCGAGCUGGAGUGAACUUCCACAUUCUCUUCUAGAGGAAGCAAAGAAAGCAGUAUCCAAAUCCACUGAUGAUGCAGCGGGUCAAGAGGCUUUGAAAAAUGUAUUUCGUGCAGCUGAGGCAUGUGAAGAAUUUGGUGGAGUUUUGGUUACCCUAAGAAUGGCUCUGGAUGAUCUUUGUGGUCUAACAGGCGAGAACGUGGGCCCUUUGCCUGGUUAUGUAGAAGAUGCUGUUAAGUCCACAUAUAAUAGGUACAUGACAUAUCUGGAAUCCUUUGGGCCUGACGAACACAUUCUACGAAAGAAGGUGGAAAAUGAGUUGGGUACCAAAAUGAUUCACCUUAAAAUGAAAUGCAGUGGCAUAGGAUCCGAGUGGGGAAAGAUCACACUGAUAGGAACCUCAGGGAUCUCUGGGUCAUAUGUUGAGCUAAGGGCGUGA